GGGCCUGUGGCAUGACAGGGAAGCGACACGUUUGCAACGUGUUAUAUGCGAGUUCGAAUCUCGUCGGGUCCACCA
rnacentral:tRNA from 1 species